UACUCUAACUCUCAGAAAAAAUGUCUCUUUUCACUCACAUGUAGGCCUACCUGAAGGUUUACUUGUUACUUCAGGUAGGCCUAUAUGUGAGUGAAGAGAGACAUUUUUUUCUGAGAGUUAGAAU
rnacentral:pre_miRNA from 1 species